GUGGGGUCCAUCUGCUGAGUGUCCUUGCGUCUGCCUUCCCCAGCCCACAGAAGGACCUCUCUCGCUGGGCUGCAAGUCGGCCUACAGUGCCGAACCGAACGGAGCGCGUCUCGUGUUGGACAGAUGGAGUUCCUUAGUUAAAAAACGACGUGCGGCGAAUAACACUCGAGGAACGAGAAACGACAGAGGAGGUUGGGUCCCCCCCUCAUCCGAACCCGGCGAGUCGUUCGCAUACAGUGACCUGGAAAUCCACCCAAGUGCUGUAGGUAGGCGACUAAAAAGACGGAACGGUCGCGACUAACACAGCCGGACUCCCAGCGCCUUCAAC
ensembl:lncRNA